rnacentral:sRNA from 1 species
GGAAGAGCAAGCCAAUAGGUGGUGGCCGCAGUCUUGAAAACUGUUAGGAGCUAAUGACUCGUGUGGGUUCGACUCCCACUUCUUCCG